AACGAACGCUGGCGGCAUGCCUAACACAUGCAAGUCGAACGAGAUCCUUCGGGGUCUAGUGGCGCACGGGUGCGUAACGCGUGGGAAUCUGCCCUUAGGUUCGGAAUAACAGUUAGAAAUGACUGCUAAUACCGGAUGAUGACGUUAAGUCCAAAGAUUUAUCGCCUGAGGAUGAGCCCGCGUAGGAUCAGCUAGUUGGUGUGGUAAAGGCGCACCAAGGCGACGAUCCUUAGCUGGUCUGAGAGGAUGAUCAGCCACACUGGGACUGAGACACGGCCCAGACUCCUACGGGAGGCAGCAGUGGGGAAUAUUGGACAAUGGGCGCAAGCCUGAUCCAGCAAUGCCGCGUGAGUGAUGAAGGCCUUAGGGUUGUAAAGCUCUUUUACCCGAGAUGAUAAUGACAGUAUCGGGAGAAUAAGCCCCGGCUAACUCCGUG
rnacentral:rRNA from 1 species